rfam:Trichophyton rubrum CBS 118892 genomic scaffold supercont2.3, whole genome shotgun sequence.
GGCACUGUGGUAGAGUGGUUAAUACGUUGCACUGCUACCGCUAUACAGUUCUCUGCAUACAUAGCCAUGCAAUUCCUUCGGGAGCCAGGGUUCGAAUCCCUGCGGUGUCG